rnacentral:rRNA from 1 species
UACAGAGGUCUCAAGCGUUGUUCGGAUUCAUUGGGCGUAAAGGGUGCGUAGGUGGCGCGGUAAGUCGGGUGUGAAAUUUCGGAGCUUAACUCCGAAACUGCAUUCGAUACUGCCGGUGCUUUGGAGGACUGGAGAGGGAGACUGGAAUUUCAUGGUGUAGCAGUGAAAUGCGUAGAGAUCAUGAGGAAGACCAGUGGCGAAGGCGG